GAUGAACGCUAGCUACAGGCUUAACACAUGCAAGUCGAGGGGAAACGGCAUUAAGUGCUUGCACUUUUUGGACGUCGACCGGCGCACGGGUGAGUAACGCGUAUCCAACCUUCCCAUGACUAAGGGAUAACCUGCCGAAAGGCAGACUAAUACCUUAUGGUCUUCACUGACGGCAUCAGAUGUGAAGAAAAGAUUUAUCGGUUAUGGAUGGGGAUGCGUCUGAUUAGCUUGUUGGCGGGGUAACGGCCCACCAAGGCAACGAUCAGUAGGGGUUCUGAGAGGAAGGUCCCCCACAUUGGAACUGAGACACGGUCCAAACUCCUACGGGAGGCAGCAGUGAGGAAUAUUGGUCAAUGGGCGAGAGCCUGAACCAGCCAAGUAGCGUGCAGGAUGACGGCCCUAUGGGUGGUAAACUGCUUUUGUAUGGGGAUAAAGUCAAUCACGUGUGAUUGUUUGCAGGUACCAUACGAAUAAGGACCGGCUAAUUCCGUG
rnacentral:rRNA from 1 species